AUUGAACGCUGGCGGCAGGCCUAACACAUGCAAGUCGAGCGGAUGAAGGGAGCUUGCUCCUGGAUUCAGCGGCGGACGGGUGAGUAAUGCCUAGGAAUCUGCCUGGUAGUGGGGGAUAACGUCCGGAAACGGGCGCUAAUACCGCAUACGUCCUGAGGGAGAAAGUGGGGGAUCUUCGGACCUCACGCUAUCAGAUGAGCCUAGGUCGGAUUAGCUAGUUGGUGGGGUAAAGGCCUACCAAGGCGACGAUCCGUAACUGGUCUGAGAGGAUGAUCAGUCACACUGGAACUGAGACACGGUCCAGACUCCUACGGGAGGCAGCAGUGGGGAAUAUUGGACAAUGGGCGAAAGCCUGAUCCAGCCAUGCCGCGUGUGUAAAGAAGGUCUUCGGAUUGUAAAGCACUUUAAGUUGGGAGGAAGGGCAGUAAGUUAAUACCUUGCUGUUUUGACGUUACCAGCAGAAUAAGCACCGGCUAACUUCGUG
rnacentral:rRNA from 1 species